UAUGCAAAUAGAUCAAGGACAACCAACGUCACCCUCAUCAAUUGUCUAACACAAAAGCAAACAAUGUCCCCACUCCCCUUUCAGCAAAGGUUCAAUAAUUAGAAUGAAGGUUUGCAGAAUUUGUGUCACCAUGACCCCCUCAGAUAAACCCCAUGGUCACUGUGUUCUGAUCUGGAAAAAACAGGAUCCAUGUACUCAACAAAGUGUCACUGAAUUGGUUGGAUGCCUCUAAAGGAUGCAGAACUGCGGUGAAUGUUUUCUGUCUGGGGCUUUGUGCAGGAUGCAAACUGUAGCCUGGCCUAGCUUAAGAAAAUCAUGACUAUUAAGCAUAAUCUAGGUAUAGCCCUAGCCAUGGGCAACUAUGAAAUUUGAGAGGCAUUUUUUUAAUGUUUUGUGAGUCCACUCAUUUAACUCAUGUUCGACAAGAGACCCAUGUCUUUCAAAGUAGUUGGACCUGAUGCAGAGAUGAAAUAGCAGUAUUUUGGUAUUGGGCAAGUGAAAAUCCCCCCAACAUCCCAGCCAGCUGUUUUUUUCUUUGUUUAUUUUAAAAAAACCAUCCAGUUAGCAGACCUUUCAUGUAUCUCCUCAGUACUGACUGGCCUAGUCUCACAGCUCUUGAGGCAUCAAAUUCAACAGCACUCUGACUACAGCUGUUACAUUUCUUCUUCCUACAGGCCGCUCCAAGCAGAAACUCUCACUGAGUCCUGGGCCCAUGAGCGUGACGUUGCCUUUCCCUCUGCUCUUUCCUCAAGCAAGGCAGGAUUACAGUGGCUUCCAUGGUUCCAUGUGGAAGAAAACAUUUUCCAAGGGCAGGGGACUUUCAGAAGCAAGCCAGGCUUCCUUUCGUCCACAGACACUCAACAGUGAUAUCUCAGGAAGUGCAGGGGACAGAAAAGGACACCUGCCACCCUUGAAGCCCAAAGAUCAGAACAUGACUGAUGACAGGGACAUGACUACCCUUAGACAUUCCACUUCCAAGCAACUAAUUAUUUCAGCAGAAUCUGGGGAGACAGAGGAGAAUAAUGGCACAGAUGAUCAAGGGAGGGAUGUUGGAGCCCAAGGUAGCACCAUAUUCGUGAACAUUCCAGGAAAGCGAAGACCUUCCCUUGGCCAAGAGAAGCUGAUCAUGGAUGCAGAAGCUUAUGGUGCUGAUGGAUGCCCCAGGAACAUGUACAGCAGGCCAGAUUUCCUGAAGUCCUAUUCUGAAGCAAGGAAAGCCCGCUACAUCCGUCACAAAAACAUUCCAGCCUGGGAAAAGGAACUUAGCCUCCAGGACAUAUUUGGGCACAAAAGGACCAUAGAACAUUCAGGAGCAGAAUGA
rnacentral:lncRNA from 1 species